GCAUAGAAGAGAGAGAGAGAGAGAGAGGAAGGGAAAGAAGGAGGGAGAGAGAAAAUCAAAAGUUGAUCGUAUAUUUCAAUAUGCUAAUAAUUUGCAUCUUUUUUUCUUCUUCUCCCUCUAUUUCUCCUUCUUCAAACACCUUCCUUCCAUUUUGUC